rnacentral:rRNA from 1 species
AUUGAACGCUGGCGGCGUGCCUUACACAUGCAAGUCGAACGGUAACGCGGGGCAACCUGGCGACGAGUGGCGAACGGGUGAGUAAUGCAUCGGAACGUGCCCAGUAGUGGGGGAUAGCCCGGCGAAAGCCGGAUUAAUACCGCAUACGACCUACGGGUGAAAGCGGGGGAUCGCAAGACCUCGCGCUAUUGGAGCGGCCGAUGUCAGAUUAGGUAGUUGGUGGGGUAAAGGCCUACCAAGCCUACGAUCUGUAGCUGGUCUGAGAGGACGACCAGCCACACUGGGACUGAGACACGGCCCAGACUCCUACGGGAGGCAGCAGUGGGGAAUUUUGGACAAUGGGGGCAACCCUGAUCCAGCCAUGCCGCGUGCGGGAAGAAGGCCUUCGGGUUGUAAACCGCUUUUGUCGGGGAAGAAAUCCUCCGGGCUAAUACCCCGGGGGGAUGACGGUACCCGGAGAAUAAGCACCGGCUAACUACGUGCCAGCCGCCGCGGUAAAAC